rnacentral:rRNA from 1 species
UACGUAGGAUGCAAGCGUUGUUCGGAAUUACUGGGCGUAAAGAGUACGUAGGCGGUUUGAUAAGUCUGAAAUUAAAGACUGAGGCUUAACCUCAGGAAUGUAUCGGAAACUGUCAGACUAGAGGACAAUAGAGGAAGUCGGAAUUCUCAGUGUAGCGGUGAAAUGCGUAGAUAUUGGGAAGAACACCAGUGGCGAAGGCGGCGAGCUGGGCCAUGACUGACGCUGAGGCGCGACAGCGUGGGGAGCAAACAGG